UACGAAGGGGGCUAGCGUUGCUCGGAAUCACUGGGCGUAAAGCGCACGUAGGCGGCUUUCUAAGUCAGGGGUGAAAUCCUGGAGCUCAACUCCAGAACUGCCUUUGAUACUGGGAAGCUCGAGUCCGGAAGAGGUGAGUGGAACUCCGAGUGUAGAGGUGGAAUUCGUUGAUAUUCGGGAGAACACCAGUGGCGAAGGCGGCUCACUGGUCCGGUACUGACGCUGAGGUGCGAAAGCGUGGGGAGCAAACAGG
rnacentral:rRNA from 1 species